AGUAACGCUCUGGGAGGGCUCAGGCCACAUCACGAAAUGUGACAGGAUAGCCUUGAACUCAUCAAUUGCUGGGCAGAAAACUAGCACCCAAAACCAGUUGGAAUAAAAUUACCCACCUACAGUGGAGCCAAGGCCCCCAGAUCCUUUUUGUCAGCAAGGUAAGCUGUCAUCAGUUGGAGGUAAGCGGAAGACAGUAGAGAGUACAGAGCCCUGGACUGUGACUCAGAGGAUGAGCACCAGAUCCAGUUUGCUGUGCCACAGUGCCUUCUCCAAAGUCACUCACAGAAGGCAUCCCACUCAACCUCACCUUGGGGUAAAUCAAAAUAGUCCUCCUUCUGAAGCUACCGGGUAAAACGGUGGUAGCUGUGCAGCUGCUGCUGAUCAACAGGCUCCAGAAACAGCAGCAGGAGGUGAGCAGUCCCUGCGUUGGCCACCAAGUGGUAGGUGGCCAGCCCUACCUCCAAGUUGCACUGUUUACUUAUUCAUCUUUCAUGGUAAAGCCUCCAGUUGCCUAUUAUGAAAUCAGCAAUAAUCAUGUGUCCCCUGUCUGGGUCCCUGAAAAGAUGGAAAGAGGCAGAUCAGGCUGGUGCUCUGAGAAUGACAGACAUCAAACAAGAAUGAAAAGUGUCACCCUCCUUGGACUUAUUCAGUAACUCAUGCCCUUGAGCAAAGGAGGAUUUUCUAUCAAAGGACAUGGAUUUCUGUGUCUUUCUCUUGAGAUAACAUUGCUGGGUGACCACAGAAAGCUGGCUCUGGAAGCACAGAAGCUGCCUUUCCUUGAGUAAUAAUGUCUCUUCAAAGGGAGCUGGAGCAUGAGUAGUGUACAUGCCUCAGAUUUCAGUGAAAAGUUCAGAGGAGGCCUGAGAAGAAGGUCCUGGGAAUGAAUCAUCUAGAUGACUCAACCUUGCAAAGCCAUCCACCUCAUUGUGGAUAUCAUUCAAUACAUUUGGUGCUCCAUCAUCCUA
rnacentral:sRNA from 1 species